rnacentral:lncRNA from 1 species
CUGACCGUGGUGAGGGAUAGAGACACAGACCGAGAGAGAAAAAGGCUGUAGGCUUUAUUGAGCAGAUUGAAAGGACAAAGCUUCCACAGUGUGGAAGGGGUCCCGAGCGGGUAGCCAGAGUUAGAUUAUGUGACUGCCUUUUAAACUCUUUAAGGCCGGAAAUACGUGUGGCGAGAUGUUACCAGAGCGAGAAACAAAGGCAAUUAACCGUUUGUAACAUGUCUUAGAUCUUGAGGAAAACUGGAAUUGCAACUUAGGUUUUAUCUACUUUAUGAACUUGCAGCAGCAUGGCAAAGGAGACGGGAUCUUACAGGACUUUGUUACAAAGUAUGUUUUCAAGGAAUUGGAAUUGGGAGGAUAGAUAAGGUCCGCUGGUCACAGAAAAACAGGCAGUUAACGUUCCUUUUACUUUAGUUUCGGGGGAGGCGGAAGAGAAAGAGAGAGAGAGGACACAGGGAAACUUACAGCAAAAGUUUCGAUGUUUAUAGCUUUCUUGGGGAAGAAAACACAUGCACAGAUCCUGGUGUUAGGAAUAUUUUAAGCAUGUAUCUUCAAUAUUAUUCAUCCAGGACCGAAGUAAGUCCUGAUGCAGGAAAUGAGUGACUUUCACAGCUUUCUGAGCCCCUACUCAACCCAGGAAGUCCAGCUGGCACCUCCUCUGGAUCACAAGGUUUUUUUGUUUUUUUGUUUGUUUGUUUGUUUGUUUGUUUUAUCAUAUUGGCGUUGUGUUUAUUUCCUCUCUACUCUUCUAAGUGCCUGCAGAGUAACAAAUGCACAUCUAAAUGCUUGUGUUGUGCCUCUUUGCUAGCUUGUACAUUGUUCUUUCUUCUUCCCUAACCUCAGCUCCACGGUAUUAACCAUACAUACCUCUGAAAUACAUCUGAUUGAAUAUAUAAUUAUUGCAGUGAUACAGAUUGCAUGGUUUCAUGUUGAUGUAAAUGUUCACCCUGACCACCAGUCUAACACAUAAUCAAUGUUUUCAUUUUACUUAGUAACUGUUAUUUUUUCCUAUAGAGGACAGGGAAAAAAAAAAAAAAACUAAGUUCACUUGCUUUUAAAUUCACUGCAGUUUUUUUUACUACCCUUAAAAAACAGCCUUCUACCUUUUCAACUUACCCUAUUUUGUACCCAAAUCAAGCGAUAUGAUUGCAGUUGGAUACAUGACAGAAUACUUAGGCUGACUGUAAUAAGGAUAGGAACAUUGUAUAUAAUGUUUUACAUAAUUAUAAGCACUCAGUAACCUUUGGUUCAGUGGAUCCAGUGAUAAUUUCAUAACUAGUUAAACGAAGGAACUACCCUGAUUAAUUACAUAAUUCCGCCAAUUAAAUCAAGCUUGAGUUCUUGACUGGAUUAAUUUAGCAACAUUAAAAACAACAGCAACAACAAUGCCCUACAAUUCAGCAAGAUAUUUUGAAAAUAUCAACGAAUAUAAAUAAAUUUAAACAUAUGUUUACAUGGAAAUUAUGUAAAAGACCCAGAAUAGCCAACUUAAUACUAAAGGAGAAUAACAAAGUCAGAAGACUGACACUACCUGACUUCAAGACUCCCUAUAAAACUAUAGUGUUCAAAACAGUAUUGUAUUGGGGAAAAAUAGACAAAUAUAUCAGUGGAAUAAAAUAGGGUUCUCAGAAAUAGACUUAUAUAAAUCCAGCAAACAGAUCUCUGACAAGAGCAAAGGCAGUAGCAUGGGAAAAGGAUAAUCUUUUCAACAAGCAGUGCUGGAAUAACAGAAAAAUACAGCAACGAGAAAGAAAAUUGCUGCAUUCAUAUAUUCCACUUGUUUCUUUCAUGCCUCAAGUAAACUUAGAUUCCUUUCUCAAUUUUCAGCCACUGAAGUAAGUAGGAUUUACUUCAAGUAGUUGUUUCUGAAAUUGUUUUCAAUUAUCUCAAUAAGCUUGUUUCUUCAGGCAGCUGAGAAUUUUACUUUCCAGAGGCCUCUAUUUGAGAUAAAUUGGCUCACCAAUGCCUAAGCCUCAAGAAUAAUACAUCAACUCAGACAUUUUUUCAGGGUUAAGGAGGAAAACGUGACUGCUUCAGUAAUGGUAGACAAUCCACUUGACAACAGACAAGCUCCUUUAUUCAGUGGUGCUAAUUCAAUAAAUAUUUACUGAGUAAAAAGGGCCAAGCUCAAUGUUGGGUAGAUAAUAGCAAUAAAAUUAUUUAUGUUACAGUAUCUGAACUCAAAUGAAAACACUGGAACUAUCUUCAACAAGUAGAGAAUUCUUCAUUCCAAAACUCAUGGAAAAGGUUUAUUGAUUUAUAUGGUUGAAUUGAGAUACAACAGAACAUGAAGAGGAUUAAAAUUUGUACUGUAGCUGAGAGAUACUGUAAUUAUAAUAAGGGAAAUAACAUUUAUUACAGGCUAUCCUAACUAUGUCACUGAAAUUGCUUUUGCAAUUCAUGUUAUUAAAGGCAAUGCAUAGUAUUAUUUCCUUAUUUUGUCAAAUCCACCUGCAGCGUUUACUGUGUUUACUACCUUACCUACUUCAAAAUACCGUUUGGCUUUCAUAUGUCAGUGUGUCCCUUUACAAUUCUCAUUGUUCCCUCAUAGCUUAACUGAGAAACUUUCUUCUACUUGUUCCCUCAUAGCUUAACUGAGAAACUUUCUUCUACUUUAUAACAAGCAAGAAGUUAUGUGCUUUGGACUCCACAAUUUGAGAGCUUCUUGCCCUUCUCCAGGUGCACUGCUCCUCACAAUGAAAGAAAUGGGUGAAAGAGGAAAGAGCAUGACCACCUGGAGCCCAUCAUCCCCCUUCUACAACAAAUUCUAGUGAUCCAGAACCCCAGGAAUCCCUGCCCCAUAAAUACUCUUGCUUAAAUCAAAGGAUAUCAUGAGCCAUUUUUUUUCCAUUUUCAUUCUUCCAUGAAUGUUCUAUGCACAUUCAUGCACACGUGCAGGUUUGAGAAGUGCCAAAAAACAGCUGUUUGGAGUAAAGGAGAUGAACGAACAACAUGUUUGCAGGCAAAGGUGAGCACCAUCAUCUGCAUGCAUGUAAGCACCAUACGGUAUGAUAAGAAAGCAUGAGUAAGAAUGGGCUGUAAACUUGGUUCUGCAGACACUAUAUUGCACAAGAAACUGGUAAGAGUAACUAAACUGAUCUCACUAUCCGUGAGUAGGUUAGAUUCUAAAGAACACCAUAUCUAGAAGUUACAUGUAAUGGGAUGACUUUCUGGAACCAUAAAAUUAAACAUACCAGAGCAACAAAUACUGGUAUCUUUUAUAUAAUCAAUCUACUCUUCUCCUAUCGUCCUCUUCCACUUCCUCUUCCCUAUUUCCAUUGCCUUUCUUACAUUUCUCCUGCCACUCCCUCCCAGGUACUCACCGCUACCCUGCGUUCCUGCAUAGACUUCCAUCAGAGAGAACAUGUUAGGAAAGUUAAAUUGCAGUAAGCACAUCACAGCAAUGACGAGGACAGGUACUUUUCUGGGAAACACUGGAAGACAGCUGGAGAGGAUUCUGCUGCUGUGAAAGCACCUAAAGCCUCCUUGACUCAGCCUCACAUCCUAUCUUCAAGAAAACAUCAUAUGGUUAUUAUAUAAACCUCUUACGGGAUUUCUAAGGUUAAUUUCAAUAUAUAAAUGGCUACUCAACAGAAUCAAGGUAAUUAGAGUUUGCUUAUAUUCAAAAAGAGUUGCAAAAUGUCUCCUAGAAAACAGAAUUAACUAUAAGAACCUGAAAUUUGCAUUUCAUAACUUUAAGGAGUUUAAAUUAUCAAGAUUAAUAUUGCACUAAAAAGUUUGUGCAUUCAUGCGUGAUCGAAUAUGAAAACACAUGACCUGUGAACUGAGCAAAAGGUAUGCUUUCUGAAGCAUAUACUCUGUGUGAUUAGGUCACUGAUGCCAUUGAAAUAUGUAGAUUUAAUGUUAAAGCUACUGGUUCUCUGAGUGUUUUCAUGAUCUCACCAGAUUUUUUUUUUUGUACCAUUCACUCUUUUCUAUUUAAAAGACUUUCAGUCGUAGUCUAAAAAAAAUUCCAAACACUUUAGUUCUGGAAUUUCACUUAUUCUCUACAAGUUAUUAUUACUACAAUUUAGUACAAACUCUCAUUUUCAUAGCUUACUAUUCCAACUUCUCCUAGUAUGUAACCCUUAUGCUCUAUAACUGAAAACAUUCUGGUAAAAGGAAUCAGCAUGCUAAUACUAUUUUAAACACACAUCCUCAUUCUCUUUCCUAUUAUUCAUAAAACUAGAAAAAUAAAAAAACACUUUUCUUCCAGCAGUGGAUAGAAGAAAAAGAAAUUCAAAUUUACAAUUUAAUUGUCAUGGGUCACUCACUUGCAGUGACUUGCUCUAGUUGCUUCUGUUGUUUUAAUGCUAAGGUAAGAUGAUGAAGAUCUGUUUUGAGUAAAGUAAGCUCCAAAUAUGAGCUUUGCACUACUACCAUUCUUAAUUUGUGGAUCAUAUCAAUGUUAGGAGUUGAAGGUUUAAUUUGCAUUUAUUUAAAUAAAUUAUCCCUAGACUAUAACUUAUUUUCCAAAUGUCUCAUUCUUUCUCUCAUGUUUAUCUUUUUUCUUGACAUUCAUUUCUUAUACAUGCAUUCAUCAAUAUUAGCCAUUCUAUGUGGAUAUACUAAUUCAUAUUUACUUCAAUCCAUUAAUAUUUGCAUUCUAAUAAAAUUCAUUGCUUCUCUACAAUAGAUAGUUCAAGCAGAACUUAUAGUUUUGGUCAUUAAUUUCUAGCUACAGAUUGCAGAAGAGAAGCAGCACAUAAUAAAGUAUAUCCUAGUCAUGUUUGCAUAUAAAUACAUACUACAUUGCACAGAAUAAUUGUUACCCUCCUACAAAAGCCCAAAAUAAAUUAAAGAUAUAAAAUCACUGAUAUAAUUCAGUUUUGUAUCUCAAUCACAAUCCAGUUUCUUUCUUUUUCUGAUCUUAUAGCCUGGGGGUUCUCAAAAGAAAACGUUUUAGAAUAAAAUUUUAUUUUCUAUAAACCUAAGGAUAUAGUGCACAUUCAUUGAUAGAACAGGCAUCAACUUCUGUUUCUCUGAUCUCAUUUCACUAGGGCUUACAUUUUCAGCCAUAUCACUAGGCAGAACUGUGAAAGCAAUUCUGUAUUAAUGUUCAAAGAUGCAUUUUUUUUAUUAGAAAAGAAACACAUGUUUUAUACUUAGCCCUAUAUCCUGUAUCUUCCCCUCCCUUCCUCUUUUGGUUUUUCUUGUCCUACAAUAAAAAGCACUAGAAUAUCCACUGGAUGUAUUGUUUAUAAAUUAAGUAACAUAUUGUUCAUAUAAUAAAACGAUUCUCUUCCCCACAUGAUUUCAUCACCACUGUCUCUUCCUAAGUGUGACAAUGUCUUCUGCUUACUUCAACAUUAAAGGGCUGCGUGGUUGUGUUUGCCAAGGUUCUUCUCGUCAAAAUCUG